rnacentral:rRNA from 1 species
UGGCGGACGGGUGAGUAAUGUCUGGGAAACUGCCCGAUGGAGGGGGAUAACUACUGGAAACGGUAGCUAAUACCGCAUAACGUCGCAAGACCAAAGAGGGGACCUUCGGGCCUCUUGCCAUCGGAUGUGCCCAGAUGGGAUUAGCUAGUAGGUAAGGUAACGGCUUACCUAGGCGACGAUCCCUAGCUGGUCUGAGAGGAUGACCAGCCACACUGGAACUGAGACACGGUCCAG